rnacentral:snRNA from 1 species
AUACUUACCUGGACGGGGUCAAUGGGCGAUCAAGAAGGCCCAUGGCCUAGAUUGGUGACCUCCAUUGCACUUAGGAGGGGCGCCCGUCUAAGGUCGGCCCAAGUGGUCGAGCCUACGUCAUAAUUUGUGGUAGAGGGGGGCCUGCGUCCGCGCGGCCCCUGC